rnacentral:rRNA from 1 species
CUUGAAGAUGGACUCGCGUCCGAUUAGUUAGUUGGUGAGGUAACGGCUCACCAAGACCGCGAUCGGUAGCCGGACUGAGAGGUUGAACGGCCACAUUGGGACUGAGACACGGCCCAGACUCCUACGGGAGGCAGCAUG